UUGCUCUUAGUUUAGUUCAGUAGAACGUGGGAUUUCAAAACCUGACAUCGUAGGUUCAAAUCCUAUAGCGUGUG
rnacentral:tRNA from 1 species